rnacentral:rRNA from 1 species
GAUGAACGCUGGCGGCGUGCCUAAUACAUGCAAGUCGAGCGAAUGGAUUAAGAGCUUGCUCUUAUGAAGUUAGCGGCGGACGGGUGAGUAACACGUGGGUAACCUGCCCAUAAGACUGGGAUAACUCCGGGAAACCGGGGCUAAUACCGGAUAACAUUUUGAACCGCAUGGUUCGAAAUUGAAAGGCGGCUUCGGAUGUCACUUAUGGAUGGACCCGCGUCGCAUUAGCUAGUUGGGGAGGUAACGGCUAACCAAGGCAACGAGGCGUAGCCGACCUGAGAGGGUGAUCGGCCACACUGGGACUGAGACACGGCCCAGACUCCUACGGGAGGCAGCAGUAGGGAAUCUUCCGCAAUGGACGAAAGUCUGACGGAGCAACGCCGCGUGAGUGAUGAAGGCUUUCGGGUCGUAAAACUCUGUUGUUAGGGAAGAACAAGUGCUAGUUGAAUAAGCUGGCACCUUGGCGGUACCUAACCAGAAAGCCACGGCUAACUACGUGCCAGCAGCCGCCGUAA